CCGAAGGGAUCGGACCGCGGAUCCCCACGCGUCGCUUUUGGGACUGGGAGUGUCCGGGGUUCUCCGGGCGGCAGCCCCGGGGAAAGUGACGUAAAAUCGGGGAUUCCCCGAUGCCGGAGGGCCCAAAUACUCGCCGGCCGUGUGUGGCAGCCCAGCCCCCUGUACUAACACCGGAGCGCCCGUCUGAACUGGGAUUCUGCAGCCUCCCUGCUGAAUGCCAGCGAGGAGGCUUCAACAGGGGAGCAACCGAUACAGCAGGGAUAUAACCUCGUGUGCGUCCCGCCAGCUCUGGCGCCCGUCAGGAAUCCCAGCAGUGCAGAGACGGACUGGCGCCCAGCAUUUACAUCCAGGCGGCACUGCCACCUCCCCCGGGCCGGCACAGUCUAAGGUAGAAGCAGGCUCAGAGGGGUUGGCACUCGGCCUGGAAUCAGACUUCAGGGCAGGCACCGACUUCCCUAAAGCACACCGCCUCCGCCCCACUGCAACAGCCAGUCAGGUUCAGACCUCCGUGGCGUGGGCGAGUGGGCGCCGCAUUUUAGGUUUCACUCCUGCAGCUGAGCCCUGGACCUUUGGUUCUACUUCAACCGAGCCUCCCUUGACCCAGCUGAGCUCCCAGCUCCCAGCACGGCUCCACAACUGGCCACAGAAGCCCGAGAACAAGGCGGCCUGUGAGGAGCCUGCAGCCGCAGCCAGCUACAGAACGUCCAUGGACAGAGCAGCUCUGGCUUGCCUGGGGGGUGGGAGGGCGGGGACUGGCAGGCAGAGCCGAGGGUGGCUUGCCCGGGGCAGUGCUGGGCAGGGUUUAGCAGGAGGCCCAGCACUGUCUGCCAAAAGCCUACUCCCUCCGUCCACUCUGAUGGCAGAAGCCCAAAGGCCUGCUUCCCACAGGGAAAGAAAGGGUGACUGUGAACAGGAUGGAUGUGGACCUGCGUGCAGAAGCUCUUCAUUCUAGAACAACACAGAAAAUGCGGAGAGGGCCCACAGGCCAGUCCCAAGGGUGAUUAACGACACUUGGGAAAUCCGAUGAUUACCAACACCAACAAGACAUCAAGCUGCACCAUGACUGUAAAUCAGAAAUAGUUUGAGAUGAAGCACAUGUGUGUUAAUGUUUUGUUAUAUUUUCAUUAAACUGGAAUCGAUUACAAGUAACACCUUUUCCUGACUUGGCUUUUCUCUGGUCUCCCAGAUGUGUGUCCUCAGCACUGCUGGACACAGCAAGGACCAGUGCUGUACCCAUUUUCUGGAUGAGUAUACUCAAGUAGGACAGACAAACUAAACAAAGGGAGAAAACCAGAGUGUGGACUCAGAUACACG